rnacentral:ncRNA from 1 species
GUGUUCGAAGAAAGAAGAGAUGGUUGGCAUCUUCCCCAAUAGGGACGGGAACAGCCUUCGGGCUUUACGUGUUGCCACACACAUCCGGUUAAGGCUACCCACUUCGGUGGAUCUUACCCCAACUUUAU